AUAAACCCCCGAAUCGAUACAAUCAGACGAAGCAACCAACUCGAAAACGGACCUCAGCUCGAUGAGAUCUCACUACGUCGUCGAUUUGAUGGAGAAUUGAGCUCUGGAUCGGCGUCGCUACAAAAAUCGCCUCUAGAGUCGCAAACCCUAGCUUUUUUGGAGAGAGGAGGAAAUGAGGAGAUUCACGCGUAUCCACUACUUUCUCCGUCGACAACGCGCGUCGCAGAAGCCAAUAACUUCUCUCCACGUGGCUUGAACUCGUUUCAUGCGGGCUCUCUCCAACGGCCCGGUUCAGCGAAAAUAACCCAAUUUCCAUUUUCUUUUCGAUAAAAAACCCUAUGAACCUCAGCACAUGACUCGCCUAUGAACCCUUAAUGGACUUGCUCUAACAAAGUGGUUCUUAAAAAAAAACACAAAAAAAUAAAUCAAAAAUACAUUUAAAGAUCAUAACCGGUGUUAAACAUGAGACUUUAAGAAUCACUAAACAACCCAUACAUGACCAUUUUCUAUUGGCUAUUCAUUAAAGACAAAAGAAAAAAAAAAUUCCAUCUCUCUCUCUUCUUCGUCGGUUGUUCUUUCUCUCUUCUUCUUUCUCUGUUCGUCGUGCUGCUGAUGGAAGCGCUUAAUUUUGAGAAAUGGUACUGCUUUCACCUCUCUCUUAAACUCUUAAUUUUUUUGAUUUGUCGAUUUGAGUUUUCUUAUGGUUCAAUCUAGGAGUUGAUACUCUGUUUUGCGAUUUGAUUCUAGUGAGGAAUGUGGAGUUAUGAUCGCGAUUGCUCUGUUUGAUAUGCACGAGGGCGGAGAGAAACGAAGUGAAGUGAAGAGAUUCAAGUGCGUUUCGAGGGAGGGGAUUUACUUGCGGAGGCUGGAGUGAUUCAUUUAUGUUGUUGUUGUUGUCGUCGUCUAGGGAGGGGAUUGACCUGCGGAGGCUGGAGUGAUUCCAAGAGCUGUUCGUCACAUUUUCGAAACUCUCGAGUCCCAAAAAGCUGACUACAGUAUGAAAGUCACGUUCUUGGAGCUGUACAACGAAGAAGUCACAGACCUGUUAGCUCAAGAAGACUCUUCAAGAUCUUCUUCUGACGAUAAGCAGAAGAAGCAUGUUUCUCUGAUGGAAGACAGGAAAGGCUGUGUGGUUCUACGCGGUCUCGAGGAAGAAGUUGUGUACAGUGCUAACGAUAUAUACGCUCUUCUCGAACGAGGCUCAUAAAAAAGACGCACGGCGGAUACGUUGUUGAAUAAAAGAAACAGCCGCUCUCAUUCUGUUUUUACCAUCACAGUGCAUAUUAAGGAAGAGUCUAUGGGAGAUGAGGAGUUGAUCAAAUGUGGGAAGCUUAACCUUGUGGAUCUAGCGGGCUCCGAGAAUAUUUUUCGGUCAGGGUCGAGGGAUGGUAGGGGGAGAUUAACAAGAGCUUGCUUACGCUGGGGCGUGUGAUCAAUGCGCUUGUGGAACAUUCUUCCCAUAUACCUUACAGGGAUAGUGAGCUGACAAGGCUUUUACGAGACUCUCUAGGGGGGAAGACAAAGACUUGUAUCAUUGCUACAAUCUCACCAUCUGCUCAUUCCUUGGAAGAAACUUUAAGCACUUUGGAUUAUGCCUAUCGGGCCAAGAACAUUAAGAACAAACCUGAGGCAAACCAGAAGUUAUCCAAAGCUGUGUUGCUUAAAUACCUUUACUUGGAGCUUGAGAGAACGAAAGAAGGUUUACACACGUUACUUUCUCAUGUAUAUCAUCAGAUGAGCUAGUAGAUUUGUUAUAACUGCUGUAAAAUGGAUGCAGAUGUAAGAGCGGCAAAGGAUAGAAAAGAUUUACACACAUUACUUUCUCAUGUAUAUCAUCAGAUGAGCUAGUAGAUUUCCAAUACUGCUUCAACCAUUUUCAGUAACAUCUACAACCAAGCUCACGCCAACACCUUGCAAUUCAAUUUCUCUUUGCCUAUGUAUGAUUUUCUUUCAU